UGGCUGGGGGUGAAAGGCCAAUCAAACCGGGAGAUAGCUGGUUCUCCCCGAAAGCUAUUUAGGUAGCGCCUCGUGAACUCAUCUUCGGGGGUAGAGCACUGUUUCGGCUAGGGGGUCAUCCCGACUUACCAACCCGAUGCAAACUGCGAAUACCGAAGAAUGUUAUCACGGGAGACACACGGCGGGUGCUAACGUCCGUCGUGAAGAGGGAAACAACCCAGACCGCCAGCUAAGGUCCCAAAGUCACAGUUAAGUGGGAAACGAUGUGGGAAGGCUCAGACAGCCAGGAUGUUGGCUUAGAAGCAGCCAUCAUUUAAAGAAAGCGUAAUAGCUCACUGGUCGAGUCGGCCUGCGCGGAAGAUGUAACGGGGCUAAACUGUGCACCGAAGCUGCGGCAGCGACGCUUAUGCGUUGUUGGGUAGGGGAGCGUUCUGUAAGCCUGCGAAGGUGUCCUGUGAGGGAUGCUGGAGGUAUCAGAAGUGCGAAUGCUGACAUAAGUAACGAUAA
rnacentral:rRNA from 1 species